CCUAGAGUUGUAGGCUUUGCCUGCUAUCUCUUACCCAUGUCUUUUGAGUACCUUCGUUUCCUCGGCGGGUCCGCCCGCCGAUUGGACAACAUUUAAACCCUUUGUAGUUGCAAUCAGCGUCUGAAAAAACUUAAUAGUUA
rnacentral:misc_RNA from 1 species